GAGGGAUUCGAAUCCUCGGUAAACAAAA
rnacentral:tRNA from 1 species